CCAAAUUCUUGGGGGAAUUGGGCCCUGGAUGUUUUUCUGUACCUUGAACAGUGUUGCAUGGACUUGAUUGCUUACACAGUUAAUAAGUAUUGCAUGUCCUCACCAUCUGCCUGCCUGCUCAUUGCUCACUUGACAUUACCUCAAGCCCUAACGCAACAUUUUUCCUCUACAAAAAGCAAGUUUCUUGUUGGUGAAAUGCUGGCACUGGGAUUGAUUGACAUGCAGAAUCUUCUGGUAUUUUAGAGAUGCAUGACCCCUCUGGCAUCCAGUAAUGAAACCAGUCAUCUGUGUUUGAAUAAGGAGCACAUUCAAUUUCCAUGGAAAUGUCAAAGAAGGAUUAUGCAAGAGAAGCCAGAAUAGUGCAAUAAGAACAUAACAGAAAACAGCUGUAACUGCCAAUAAACAACAUCGCUGCCUGAAGAGUUGAGUAAAUAUGCUGCCAAAUGGGGAAAAUAAUCUUCUGGGUCGAUAUCGGAAUGACAUCCAACAGCAAAGAGAUAAAAUCAAAGAACACUCGAACUGGAAGGGUCCUGGAGAGGUCAUCAAGUCCAGUCUCCGGCCCCCAUGGCAGUACCAAGAAUGGGCUAUAUUAUCCAUGAUAAAUGUCCGUCUAAACUGCUCUUAAAUAUCUCCAGUGAUGGAGAUUCCA